UAAUACGAAGGGGGCUAGCGUUGCUCGGAAUCACUGGGCGUAAAGCGCACGUAGGUGGGUCGUUAAGUCGGGGGUGAAAUCCCAGAGCUCAACUCUGGAACUGCCUUCGAUACUGGCGACCUUCGAGUUCGGGAGAGGUGAGUGGAACUGCGAGUGUAGAGGUGAAAUUCGUAGAUAUUCGCAAGAACACCAGUGGCGAAGGCGGCUCACUGGCCCGAUACUGACACUGAGGUGCGAAAGCGUGGGGAGCAAACAGG
rnacentral:rRNA from 1 species